AAACUAGCUCGCCUAGAAAGCUAAGCCACGUCCUAAAUCCAAGCCAUAGCCUCUCUUGCAGGGGAACAACUUUCAAAAACUUUCAAAUUAAAGUUGCAUAUGGAACAAAGCAGACUUUAAAGAGGAUAUUUUCUUGGUUUCUGAAAUGCAUGGCAUCAUUAUGAUUACGAUUCGGCGGAGGGAUCGUCUCAAGAAGGCUUGGACUAUUGGGAGGGUUGUCUCGAAACAAGGGCUGAGAGGAAGAAGGAGAACUUCAGGCAUGAGGCUAAAGCGGGCACCGGGACAGGCGCCAAUAAGAAGAAGUAACGGAGAGGAGUGAGUCCUAUGGAAUAAUGGGUUAAGUAGAAGCUGUUGGUUUCUUUUAUUAUAAGUAUUAAUGUAUGUUGUCCUUGUAAUAACGUAAUGAAAAAAAGGGUUUCAAGAAAACA